UGAGACGACCCUCUAGUUUGCCCUCAUUGCCAAAUUCUCUAUAAAAAGCCUAUAUUGGUUGUGCUUCAUCAUUUUAUCAGUUCAAAUUAGGGAUUGUCUUUGGUCUCUAUGUACGUUUAUUGGAUUGAUGCCACAUAUUGAUCAAAUUGCAAAACGUUGAGGAUUUUAGUAAGGCAUGGACUUUGACUCUUCUGAUAUUGAUGGCUCUUUAUUUCGAUUGUUUAAUUGGUAUUGUGAUUUUAU
rnacentral:lncRNA from 1 species